rnacentral:rRNA from 1 species
GACGAACGCUGGCGGCGCGCCUAACACAUGCAAGUCGAACGAGAGAGAGGGAGCUUGCUUCCUCAAUCGAGUGGCGAACGGGUGAGUAACGCGUGAGGAACCUGCCUCAAAGAGGGGGACAACAGUUGGAAACGACUGCUAAUACCGCAUAAGCCCACAGGUCGGCAUCGACCAGAGGGAAAAGGAGCAAUCCGCUUUGAGAUGGCCUCGCGUCCGAUUAGCUAGUUGGUGAGGUAAUGGCCCACCAAGGCGACGAUCGGUAGCCGGACUGAGAGGUUGAACGGCCACAUUGGGACUGAGACACGGCCCAGACUCCUACGGGAGGCAGCAGUGGGGAAUAUUGCACAAUGGGGGAAACCCUGAUGCAGCGACGCCGCGUGGAGGAAGAAGGUCUUCGGAUUGUAAACUCCUGUUGUUGAGGAAGAUAAUGACGGUACUCAACAAGGAAGUGACGGCUAACUACGUGCCAGCAGCCGCGGUAAAACGUAGGUCACAAGCGUUGUCCGGAAUUACUGGGUGUAAAGGGAGCGCAGGCGGGAAGACAAGUUGGAAGUGAAAUCUAUGGGCUCAACCCAUAAACUGCUUUCAAAACUGUUUUUCUUGAGUAGUGCAGAGGUAGGCGGAAUUCCCGGUGUAGCGGUGGAAUGCGUAGAUAUCGGGAGGAACACCAGUGGCGAAGGCGGCCUACUGGGCACCAACUGACGCUGAGGCUCGAAAGUGUGGGUAGCAAACAGGAUUAGAUACCCUGGUAGUCCACACCGUAAACGAUGAUUACUAGGUGUUUGAGGAUUGACCCCUUCAGUGCCGCAGUUAACACAAUAAGUAAUCCACCUGGGGAGUACGACCGCAAGGUUGAAACUCAAAGGAAUUGACGGGGGCCCGCACAAGCAGUGGAGUAUGUGGUUUAAUUCGACGCAACGCGAAGAACCUUACCAAGUCUUGACAUCCUGCGACGGACAUAGAAAUAUGUCUUUCCUUCGGGACGCAGAGACAGGUGGUGCAUGGUUGUCGUCAGCUCGUGUCGUGAGAUGUUGGGUUAAGUCCCGCAACGAGCGCGCCUCU